UACAGAGACUGCAAGCGUUUAUUCGGAUUCACUGGGCGUAAAGGGUGCGCAGGCGGCCAAAGUGUGUGAGGCGUGAAAUCCCCAGCUUAACCUGGAACUGCAUCCGAUACUGGAUGGCUUGAAUUCGGGAGAGGGAUGCAGAAUUCCAGGUGUAGCGGUGAAAUGCGUAGAUAUCUGGAGGAAUACCGGUGGCCGAAGGCGGCAUCCUGGAC
rnacentral:rRNA from 1 species